rnacentral:rRNA from 1 species
AAAGUCGUAACAAGGUUUCCGUAGGUGAACCUGCGGAAGGAUCAUUAUUGAUUGUGAAUCGUUGCCUCCAGUGCUGGCUCUCGCAAGUGCACGGUUGGUGACUUUCAUCCAACACCCUGUGAACCUUUGGCCUCUUGCUAGCUUCGGCUGGCAGAGGAUUUUUACACACACUCGAAUGUAAUGAAAUUAUUGUCGUGCGCAAGCACUUAUGUACAACUUUCAACAACGGAUCUCUUGGCUCUCGCAUCGAUGAAGAACGCAGCGAAAUGCGAUAAGUAAUGUGAAUUGCAGAAUUCAGUGAAUCAUCGAAUCUUUGAACGCACCUUGCACCCUUUGGCAUUCCGAAGGGUAUGCUCGUUUGAGUGUCAUUGUACUCUCACACUUCUGAUCCUUUGGAUUUGGAGCGGUGGACUUGGGUGUUGCCACUUGACRGUGGCUCACCUCUAAUGCAUUAGUGCAACUCCUGGUUGGACCAUAGUACGGCGUGAUAAGUGUCUUCGCCGGCACCUCGUGAGAGGGUGGCCGAUCGAGAGCUCUGUGCUUUCAAACCGUCCUUGCAAGGACAAUGACUGACAACUUGACCUCAAAUCGAGUAGGACUACCCGCUGAACUUAAGCAUAUCAAUAAGCGGAGGAAAAGAAACUAACAAGGA